UUGUGGCGCAAGACGAAAAUCGAUGGAAAACUGCACAGAGGCAUACGUUCUGUAAAAAAUAAGUCGAAUAAGAAAAGGAAAAUAUAAAUCAGCCAAUGCCAAAGAGAGAGAGAGUGAGAGAAAGAGAGAAUGUACAACACAAGGGGAUAAGCCAGUGGCACAGCAGGAAGAGAAUAUAUCCAGUUAAAGACGAACAUGUAACACAUUGGUAGGUCCCACAACAGGUGAAGCAAAAGCCCACAUGGAGAUAAAGCAGAUGAGAAGGUCAGCCAUCACAUGCCCUGGAUCUUAAAUGGAUUGUUAAAUCUGCCACCGAAAAAACAGUCGCAGAAGGAAAGCGCAUAAAUAAGGAUGAGACAUGUGUACACAUGGCUGUGGGAAGGAAACGUCAUUGCUGGCCGUCGACGGCAGCAGGAAACUGUCGCACAUUAACACGCUGGCAAGGACAAUGGCAAUGGCGACGACGCCAUUAGUGUUUGACAAGGACAUUUCACACACACACCCAGGCCAUACACAAAGACACCACAAUAUGAGGAACAGACAGAGGACGCAGACCUUCCUUCCACACAGAAACACUAGCAAUUCCCACACCGCCAUGUCAUAGUGGUGUGGUCAAGUUGAAGGAUAUACUGCUUGUGCCGGGAUGGAGCAGGAGCUGGCAUUGGCAGAAUGGACGCAUGCCUUGGGACGCCUGAAAGCAUAAAUCAGCCAGAGUGAGCUCCGUCCCCAGUCCAUGCUCUACAGCUUUUCAGUUUGUGGCUGCGCACUUCUGGUCAAUAAUUAGUUUGUGGCUGAAUUGGAUUCGUUAUUUGAAUUGAGUUUUCCUUGCAGUUGGAGCCCGCCCGUCUAAUGUGUGGAUGUUGACAGCGCAAAGUGCUGGACACGGAAACACACACAACAAUUCCGACGAACUCAACUCCACACUCCACGCUUCGGCGGUCUGUUUCCUUUGGGCUGGAGUUGCCAACGGAUUUGCCAACUCCCGCUUACACUUUGCCCGUCACGCAGUUGCUUGGAGGGGAAACUACUACUAUCCGUAUCCGAAUCUAAAUCCGAAUGUUGAACAGAAACAGACUGUGAUGCACUCUGGGGUGCUCCGAACGGUUCUGAGGGAACGUCCGUUCGGGAACAGCUUGAGCAACAAACUGUUGUCCAUGCUGCCCGCUGGAGUCGGCCAAAGCUCGUGGAGCUCGUGUUGGGGCACGCUGUUGCUAUUGGCAGUGAAAGCUUUUGCCUUUCCGUGUGCGUCUCCUGCCACCUUAUGACGCUGCAGUGUUGUCGGCAGUACACGUGCGGAGCUUUUUGGCACGUGAGGCAUGUAUGUAUGAGCAUAGCUGUGGAAGUGGCAUAAGCAGAGGCCAGACAAGGCCUGGACAAUGGUGUUGGCAUUUUCGAAAAACCUUUCUCAACAAGUGGAAAGCUUACAAUUUAAGAUUAAUUAGCGCUAGGACUACUAAUUGAAUUUCCAUGGCCACUAGUGUGCUAAGCUGGGUGGGGGGCUCUAAUUUUUCGUUUCGGCAACUUUCUGAAAGUUUUAGAAAUGCUCUCAUUUUCAACCUGUUGACCAGAUGAAUAGAACGGCUGGGGAGGCUGCGUGUGGUGCGGCAGGAAACAUAACUUUUGUCCUUACACGAGUCUGCGAAUAGUUUUCGCUUGUGGCAACAGCAACAGCAGCAGAGAAGACCUUGCCAUGGCUCGCCUUGCUCUUGAAAAUGGCAACAACCAAAGCAGCGGCAGAAGUCGGCUGAAAUAUUUAUGCAUGUAAGGUCAUCACAGCUAUUUUACUCGGCUCCGCUCCGCUCAGCUGGCACUAAAAAUAAGUAUGCGAAAAUUCGUUUUUUAAUACUUUGGCAAGGACGUGGCAGUCUGGCUGGCCCGGCCUGGCCCUCGCCGAGUGUCCGACAACA